AUGCCUCGGCUAUGGCGUGGGAAACUGGUAGUAAGCAACUUCCAAGACUAGAUACGACCUGAGACCGAUAGCGCACUAGUACCGUGAGGGAAAGUUGAAAAGUACCCCGGAAGGGGGGUGAAAAGAGCCUGAAAUCAGGUGGUCACAAGCGUGUACGGUUCGAAAGGAUAGAUCCCCUCGAAAGGAGACCGUGGCAACGCGGCAGUACGACGAGGGGGGACCAGAAUCGUACGAUCAGUUUCGUACCACUGGCCGGGGAGUUCAUCUUCGUGGUAAGGCUAAGGGUGCAAGGCCCGAAGCCGUAGGGAAACCGAUUGUCCGCAACGCCGCAAGGCGCGAGGGACGAGAUCUGAAAGGGUCUGGAAUCACGGGGAUGACACUAGAAACCAAGUGAUCUAGCCUUGAGCAGGGUGAAGCCGGGCGAAAGCCAGGUGGAGGCCCGAAGGGGUGUUGACGUGCAACUCACUCCUCUGACUUGGGGCUAGGGGCGAAAGACCAAUCUAACUUGGUGAUAGCUAGUUCCCGCCGAAAUAUCUCUAAGGAUAGUCUGGCUGGAGGUUGCCAUUGGGGUAGAGCACUGAUUGGAAAACAAGGAGCCGAAAGGUUCCACUUUCCAUUCAAACUUCGAAUCCAUUGGCGCCGUAGAAGGCCGGAAACGGGCAUGGGGGGUAAGCUCCUAUGUCGCGGGAGGAACAACUCCGACUAGGGUUAAGGUCCCGGAAUCCUGACUAAGUGUAGAAAUAGAAAGCUGUCCUCAACCAGAGACAGCUGGAAGGUAGGCUUAGAAGCAGCCAUCCUCCAAGCAGUGCGUAACAGCUGACCAGCCGAGGUUGGAGGCGCCGAAAAUGAACGGGGCUAAGUCAGGUACCGAUACCCUAGGGCACGGUCAAUAGCCGUGUUGAUAGGCGGGCGUUGGGGUCGGGUGGAAGCUGGGUUGUGAAAUCCAGUGGACCAGCCUCAAGUGUAGAUCCCGGCGGCAGUAACAGCGUUAGAGGGGUGAGAAUCCCCUCCGUCGAAAGGGCAAGGGUUCCCCGGCAAUGCGUCGUCAGCCGGAAACCGGUUAAAAUUCCGGUACUAUGGAGGUACGUGCGGCAACGCAAGCUUCCGAUCUGACGCUUCGGGAUAGGCCGAGCAGGGUCGUCGCCCUGUUUAACCUUUGAAAUCCGGGAAGUACCGUAAUGGUGAGAACCGGAUGAAGAAGGGAAUAGCCGCCCGUUUUAGGGUGGUUCAACUGAUUCCUGGAGCCAGUGAAAAGGGUCGGGGGAUGGAUCCUCCGUGACCGUACCUAGAUCCGACACAGGUGCCCCUAGGUGAGAAGCCUAAGACGUAUCGGGUGUAACUCAGGCGAGGGAACUCGGCAAAUUAGCCCCGUAACUUUGGUAUAAGGGGUGCCUGAAGCCCUAGCUUUGCUGGGGCGACAGGUCGCAGUGACUCGGGGGAGGCGACUGUUUAAUAAAAACAUAGGGGACCGCUAGCCCGAAAGGGUUUGCACGGUCCUUGAAUUCUGGCCAGUGGCGGUACCUGAAAAUUGGGUUCAACCGAUCUAAGGGCCACUAAACGCCGGGAGUAACUCUGACUCUCUUAAGGUAGCCAAAUGCCUUGUCGGGUAAGUUCCGACGUGCAUGAAUGGAUCAACGACCUCCCCGCUGUCCCCGCCUGGGGCCCGGUGAACCCACAUAACCUGGACGAACAGUCCAGGAUCUUCCAGCGGGGCGAGAAGUCCCCGUGGAGUUUUACUGCAACUUGUCGCUGGGUUGUGAUUGCGGGUACAGAGCGUAGGUGGGAGCCGUUAAGGUCGACCUCUUCGGGGGUCGACGGAGGCGCCAAUGUAACACCACCUAUCUGUGAUUACAGUUCUAACUGGACCAAAAGUCCGAGACAACGGCAGGCAGGCAGUUCGGCUGGGGCGGCACCCCCUUGAAAAAAUAUCAAGGGGGCCCAAAGCUCGACUCAUCCGGGACAGAAACCCGGAGUAGAGGGCAAGACCAAAAGUCGGGCUGACUGGAUCCUCAUCAGCAAGGGAUCCAGAGGCGAAAGCCGGGUCUAGCGAUCAUUCAUGUCCCCAUUGUUGGGGGCUGGAUGUGACAGAAAAAUUACCCCGGGAGUAAUUGGCUCGUCUCCUCUGAGAGUCCCCAUCGACGAGGAGGAUUGGUUCUCCGUCGUCGUCCCUUCCCAUCCUGGGCCCGCAGCAGGGUCCAAGGGCGCGGCUGUUCGCCGAUCAAAGGGGAAUGCGAGAUGGGUUUAGACCGUCGCGAGACAGGUCGGACUCUACCUGCUGGAAGUGUUGGUCGCCUGAGGGGAAGGCGCCCCUAGUACGAGAGGAACGGGGUAUCGUAACCUCUAGUUUACCGGUUGUCCGACAGGGCAUUGCCGGGCAGCCACGUUAUCGAGGAUAAGGGCUGAAAGCAUCUAAGCCCGAAGCCUCUCCCGAAAAUAGGCGGCCGAUCCUUUCCAAGGGACUCGGCAACGAGCCCCAGGAACGGACGAGAGCUCUCAUCGAAGAUGAGGUUGAUGGAGCAGGAGUGUACGCAUCAAGACUUCGGUCGAGAUGUUUAGCUCGCUGCCCCCAAUCGCUCAAGGUGCUGAGCU
rnacentral:rRNA from 1 species